rnacentral:tRNA from 1 species
GCCUUCUAAGCUCAGUUGGUGGAACCCCCGCUUAGUAAGCGGGAGGUCGUCGGUUCGACUCCGGCAGAAGGCU